rnacentral:ncRNA from 1 species
CCGGACACCGGGGGGAGCCCAUUUCGGGCUGAGAGGCGGGGCAACCCGCGACCCCUGGAACCUGACCCGGUUCGGACCGGCGUAGGGAUCGGUGCUUCAGACGGUG